rnacentral:rRNA from 1 species
GACGAACGCUGGCGGCGUGCCUAAUACAUGCAAGUCGAACGCACUGGGGACGGGUUAUUAACACGUGGGUAACCUCCCAUCAGAGGGGAUAACACUUGGAAACAGGUGCUAAACCGAUACUGAUGUAUGGACCCGGAGUGCAUUAGCCAGUUGGUGGGGUAACGGCUUACCAAGGCCACGAUGCAUAGCCGAGCGGAGAGGAUGAUCGGCCAAACUGGGACUGAGACACGGCCCAGACUCCUACGGGAGGCAGCAGUAGGGAAUCUUCGGCAAUGGACGAAAGUCUGACCGAGCAAUGCCGCGUGAGUGAAGAAGGUUUUCGGAUCGUAAAACUCUGUUGUUAGAGAAGCGGUAUCUAACCAGAAAGCCACGGCUAACUACGUGCCAGCAGCCGCGGUAAUAC